UACGUAGGGGGCGAGCGUUGUCCGGAAUCAUUGGGCGUAAAGCGCGUGUAGGCGGCUCGAUAAGUCCGGUGUGAAACCUUGGGGCUCAACCCCAAGCCUGCACUGGAUACUGUCGAGCUAGAGUCCGGGAGGGGAGAGCGGAAUUCCUAGUGUAGCGGUGAAAUGCGCAGAUAUUAGGAAGAACACCCGUGGCGAAGGCGGUUCUCUGGGACGGUACUGACGCUGAGACGCGAAAGCGUGGGGAGCAAACAGG
rnacentral:rRNA from 1 species